AACGAACGCUGGCGGCAUGCUUAACACAUGCAAGUCGAACGCAUCGCAAGAUGAGUGGCAGACGGGUGAGUAACGCGUGGGAACAUACCCUUUUCUACGGAAUAGCUCUGGGAAACUGGAAUUAAUACCGUAUACGCCCUACGGGGGAAAGAUUUAUCGGGGAAGGAUUGGCCCGCGUUGGAUUAGCUAGUUGGUGGGGUAAAGGCCUACCAAGGCGACGAUCCAUAGCUGGUCUGAGAGGAUGAUCAGCCACAUUGGGACUGAGACACGGCCCAAACUCCUACGGGAGGCAGCAGUGGGGAAUAUUGGACAAUGGGCGCAAGCCUGAUCCAGCCAUGCCGCGUGAGUGAUGAAGGCCUUAGGGUUGUAAAGCUCUUUCACCGAUGAAGAUAAUGACGGUAGUCGGAGAAGAAGCCCCGGCUAACUUCGUGCCAGCAGCCGCGGUAA
rnacentral:rRNA from 1 species